GUUCCUCAUCAAUCUUCAUAAACAAUUCUCGCAUUGGAAUUGACCCAUAUUUAUAGAUAAAAGUGGAAGGAGCCAAUCUGUAUUUGUGUCCUGUGUUUCUAUUUUUCCAAAUUUUAGUUGUGCUCUCUAACUGUAGGAGGUACACUGCAAAGCACAAAAGCGAAAAUGCGAUAAUGGAAAUCCUUAAAUCCUAUAACUUUGGAACCUAGGCCCCGGUGCAACCAGAAAAAUAUAGGUGGGAAAGCAAAAGCUAUGAACGUUGGACGGUUAAAAAUACCUAUUACAACCACAGCAGAUAUUAUGAUAACACGACUUAGCGAAUGAGCCGGCAAGUACUCAUUGUGGUAUAUAACUCUGUCAGACCUCAGCAUGCAUUCGGCAACUAAAAGAAGAAGGAUAGAGAAGAACAUCAUUUCAAAUGUAUUGGAGAAACUACGACAACAAUAAACAAGGACUAUAUAUGAACUUGCAAAUAUUACAAGUCUAUUCCUGAAGUUUUGUCCAUAUAAUACACAAGUACGGUAAAGACAGUAGUCGUUGAUCAAUGAGAGCAAGCAUAUGAAAAUACGAGGUACAACCAGCAAGUAAUAUGGAGUUGCAAGAUCUACUUUUAAGUAGCUCUUAGCAUAAGGAUUAAGAGCACGUAUGAAUAUCAAAGGAGGUCCUAGUAUCAUUUUUGGUACAAAGAUGUUUCUGAUGGGAAAUUUAGGAUUGAAUUCCCAUGUUCGUGCAAUAUCCACUCCAAAUACAUCUCCUGAAACACAAAAUACGGAGUAUUAUAAUUAAGACAUACAAGAAUAUCCACAUAACUUUUCAUUUGACUACUAAACUAAAUCACAAUGGAAUGUCAUAGUAUUUUAGACACAAUGGAUUUUAAUUGUAACUUAUUUGGGUAGUUUGUACUGUCAUCCUUAAUUUUGAAUUUUUAUAUUGGUCUAGUUGUCAUAUCAAUGUAUUUUUUAUUAUAAAAACUGUCAAUACUAAAUUA